GCUUGUCUCAAAGAUUAAGCCAUUCACGCCUAAGUAUAAAUUUCAUAUUGUGAAACUGCGAGUGGCUCAUUAUAUCAGUUAUAGUUUAUUUGAUAGCCCCUUACUACUUGGAUGACCGUAGUAAUUCUAGGGCUAAUACUUUUAUCAAUACCCUUCUCGGGUAGUAUUUAUUAGAUUGAAACCAACCCCUUCGGGGUGAUGUGGUGAGUCAUAAUAAGUUUACGAAUCGCAUGACUAUGUCGGCGAUGGAUCAUUCAAGUUUCUGCUCUAUCAGCUUUGGAUGGUAGGGUAUUGGCCUACCACGGCUUUAACGGGUAACGGAGGAUUAGGGUUUGAUUCCGGAGAGGGAGCCUGAGAGACAGCUACCAUAUCCAAGGAAGGCAGCAGG
rnacentral:rRNA from 1 species